rfam:Canis lupus familiaris chromosome 1, whole genome shotgun sequence.
CUGUCUCUUGCUUCAACAGUGUGUGGAUAGAACAG